UACCAGCACCCCGAGUGGUCGGGACGUUUAUUGGGCCUAAAGCAUCCGUAGCCGGUUCUACAAGUCUUCCGUUAAAUCCAACUGCUUAACAGGUGGGCUGCGGAAGAUACUAUAGAGCUAGGAGGCGGGAGAGGCAAGCGGUACUCGAUGGGUAGGGGUAAAAUCCGUUGAUCCAUUGAAGACCACCAGUGGCGAAGGUGGCUUGCCAGAACGCGCUCGACGGUGAGGGAUGAAAGCUGGGGGAGCAAACCGG
rnacentral:rRNA from 1 species